GGCCCCAUCGUCUAGGGGUAAGGACGCCGGCCUCUCACGCCGGAAACAGGGGUUCGAUUCCCCUUGGGGCUA
rnacentral:tRNA from 2 species